rnacentral:RNase_P_RNA from 1 species
GGAGUAAGUGAAGCAGCCGCGGAAAUAUAUUUUCGAGGAAAGUCCGGGCUCCGUAGGGCAGGGUGCUGGGUAACGCCCAGUGGGGGUGACCCCAAGGAUAGUGCCACAGAAAAUAUACCGUCCAGCAUUCAAUUUAAGGAAACAGUAGCUUUUGCGAAGGCCGGUUUAUUCCCUGGUUUUUUGAAUUGAGUGCUGGAUAAGGGUGCAAUGGUACGGUAAGAGCGUACCAGCGGUCGGGAGACCGGCCGGCUAGGUAAACCCCACCUGGAGAAAGACCAAGCAGAAGGGGGAUGAGGUUGCCCGCUGACCCCUCGGGUAUGGUCGCUACAGGGGCCAGGCAACUGGCACCGCAGAUAGAUGGCUGCUACUUGACAGAACUCGGCUUACCAGCUUGCUCCAAUU